GGGUUGGCAACAACCAGUGGCGCACGGGUGCGUAACACGUAGGUAAUCAACCUCUUGGUUCGGGAUAACGUUCUGAAAGGAACGCUAAUACCGGAUGUGUUCCGAAAGGAAGAAAGACCCUCAAGGGUCGUCAAGAGACGAGCCUGCGGCCCAUCAGCUAGUUGGUGAGGUAAUGGCUCACCAAGGCGAAGACGGGUAGCUGGUCUGAGAGGAUGAUCAGCCACACUGGAACUGAGACACGGUCCAGACUCCUACGGGAGGCAGCAGUGGGGAAUAUUGCGCAAUGGGCGAAAGCCUGACGCAGCCACGCCGCGUGAGCGAUGAAGGUCUUCGGAUCGUAAAGCUCUGUGGGGAGAGACGAAGAAAGCCCGUGAAGAGCGGGCCUUGACGGUAUCUCCUUAGCAAGCACCGGCUAACUCCGUGCCAGCAGCCGCGGUAA
rnacentral:rRNA from 1 species